GCGGGGGAGUAAUGUCUGGGAAACUGCCUGAUGGAGGGGGAUAACUACUGGAAACGGUAGCUAAUACCGCAUAACGUCGCAAGACCAAAGAGGGGGACCCUCGGGCCUCUUGCCAUCGGAUGUGCCCAGAUGGGAUUAGCUUGUUGGUGGGGUAACGGCUCACCAAGGCGACGAUCCCUAGCUGGUCUGAGAGGAUGACCAGCCACACUGGAACUGAGACACGGUCCAGACUCCUACGGGAGGCAGCAGUGGGGAAUAUUGCACAAUGGGCGCAAGCCUGAUGCAGCCAUGCCGCGUGUAUGAAGAAGGCCUUCGGGUUGUAAAGUACUUUCAGCGGGGAGGAAGGGAGUAAAGUUAAUACCUUUGCUCAUUGACGUUACCCGCAGAAGAAGCACCGGCUAACUCCGUGCCAGCAGCCGCGGUAAUACGGAGGGUGCAAGCGUUAAUCGGAAUUACUGGGCGUAAAGCGCACGCAGGCGGUUUGUUAAGUCAGAUGUGAAAUCCCCGGGCUCAACCUGGGAACUGCAUCUGAUACUGGCAAGCUUGAGUCUCGUAGAGGGGGGUAGAAUUCCAGGUGUAGCGGUGAAAUGCGUAGAGAUCUGGAGGAAUACCGGUGGCGAAGGCGGCCCCCUGGACGAAGACUGACGCUCAGGUGCGAAAGCGUGGGGAGCAAACAGGAUUAGAUACCCUGGUAGUCCACGCCGUAAACGAUGUCGACUUGGAGGUUGUGCCCUUGAGGCGUGGCUUCCGGAGCUAACGCGUUAAGUCGACCGCCUGGGGAGUACGGCCGCAAGGUUAAAACUCAAAUGAAUUGACGGGGGCCCGCACAAGCGGUGGAGCAUGUGGUUUAAUUCGAUGCAACGCGAAGAACCUUACCUGGUCUUGACAUCCACGGAAGUUUUCAGAGAUGAGAAUGUGCCUUCGGGAACCGUGAGACAGGUGCUGCAUGGCUGUCGCCAGCUCGUGUUGUGAAAUGUUGGGUUAAGUCCCGCAACGAGCGCAACCCUUAUCCUUUGUUGCCAGCGGUCCGGCCGGGAACUCAAAGGAGACUGCCAGUGAUAAACUGGAGGAAGGUGGGGAUGACGUCAAGUCAUCAUGGCCCUUACGACCAGGGCUACACACGUGCUACAAUGGCGCAUACAAAGAGAAGCGACCUCGCGAGAGCAAGCGGACCUCAUAAAGUGCGUCGUAGUCCGGAUUGGAGUCUGCAACUCGACUCCAUGAAGUCGGAAUCGCUAGUAAUCGUGGAUCAGAAUGCCACGGUGAAUACGUUCCCGGGCCUUGUACACACCGCCCGUCACACCAUGGGAGUGGGUUGCAAAAGAAGUAGGUAGCUUAACCUUCGGGAGGGCGCUUACCACUUUGUGAUUCAUGACUGGGGUGAAGUCGUAACAAGGUA
rnacentral:rRNA from 1 species